AAGUGUCACGCCUCUACUUUAAUUUUCCCAUUUUACCCUCAUCCAUCAUUAACUUCUUUUACGCAUGCCCCUCCUGUUUCUCGCUCUGUUCUUUCUUCUACUCCUUUAUUGUUUUCUUCACGUUUAUAACUAUUUGUUGAUUAUUUCACUUCAACAUCGUAUUAAAAAUAAGUUAAAGACAAAUUAAAUAGAGUAAACCCAUUCAUAAAAACAACAUAAUCAUUAAGGCUGAGUCGGAUGAUAUGUGAAUAGCCUAUUUUUCCGGAUAUCCUCCAAAUCAAGUUUUAUGUCGUCGAUUUGUGUGUGUGUGUCCAUCAUCUGUUGUAUUUGUUCAAAAGGGCUUAAAACAUUUCGUACCAAACAUGAAUCUUCAUUAGUCAUCAUCCGUUCAUUAGUGGGAUUAUUUGUUUUGAUUACAAUUACAAGGCAUGCUUUAGCGAAGCGUGUUUAAGCACAAACGCAUGGACCUUC
rnacentral:lncRNA from 1 species